AAAAGAUAUUACAGCAUGAGGCUAUACUAGCUUUUCCAUGGAUUUUCUUGAUUUCCCAGAAUCCCAGAGGCAACCUUUGUGAGGUGGAGAUCCCUGGAACAUGGCUGCAGUGAAGGUGCACUGCCAGGAAACAGGAGCAGAGAGGCAGUGCAUCUAAGCAAAUACCCCUGCCAUUCCCCAGAUACUUGAAGAUCCAGCACAUUCAGGGGAAGGCCCCAUAGUGGAGAGUAUGCAUUCUUAUGAAUUAUACUCAAAGAGACUGUCUGCUUACUGAAGUAGAAUGCGAGUUCAACUGCCCCAACUGUUCCAAGCUGAAAUUUGCGAACAAGCUAGGCUACUGUAUUUUUGAGGCUGUUUUGCUGGGGUGACGCUCAAGUGUUGACCAGAUCAUCCAGUCAUCUCUCAACUCAGAAACUGUUUCUAUGCUUAUUGAAUGCACAUUCCUCCUUUUUACACCAUCAGCUUAUCUCCAGGUUUGUCACCAGCAUCAGCCUUCACUUGCGACCUAAAGCAUCUGAGAACAUUACCUCUGUCCACCAGAUUUUUCCCAAGGUCGGUCUGUGCUUAUUUGGGAGCUCAUCUGUUUACUUCUUUUCUGAUCUUUAGGUAAACUGAGGCCUGAUGUGUACACACUUUUUGUACUGAUAUAAUAGUUAAGGGUGGGACUUUUUUACUGAUAUAGUUAUACUGAUACCACCCUGAGUGUGGGUACAAUUAUACCAAAAUAAAGCUGCCUAAUGCAAGUCUAGAUUAUUCCUCUGCCUGUCAGAAAAUAAAGAAAUGUC